rnacentral:rRNA from 1 species
UACGAGGGGGGCAAGCGUUGUUCGGAAUUAUUGGGCGUAAAGGGCGCGUAGGCGGCGCCACAAGUCACUUGUGAAAACUCUGGGCUCAACUCAGAGCCUGCAAGCGAAACUGUGGUGCUGGAGUAUGGGAGAGGUGCGUGGAAUUCCCGGUGUAGCGGUGAAAUGCGUAGAUAUUGGGAAGAACACCGGUGGCGAAGGCGGCUCACUGGCUCGUUUCUGACGCUCAGGCGCGACAGCGUGGGGAUCAAACAGG